rnacentral:rRNA from 1 species
GACGAACGCUGGCGGCGUGCUUAACACGUGCAAGUCGAACGGAAAGGCCUGCUUUCCCUUGUGGAUUGCGGGUACUCGAGUGGCGAACGGGUGAGUAACACGUGAGUGAUCUGCCCCCAACUUGGGUAUAAGCCUGGGAAACUGGGUCUAAUUCCCGAUAGGACUGCAGGGUGGUGCCUGUGGUGGAAAACGAUUUUCUAGUGGUUGGGGAUGAGCUCGCGGCCUAUCAGCUUGUUGGUGGGGUAAUGGCCUACCAAGGCGGCGACGGGUAGCCGGCCUGGGAGGGUGGACGGCCACAUUGGGACUGAGAUACGGCCCAGACUCCUACGGGAGGCAGCAGUGGGGAAUAUUGCACAAUGGGCGGAAGCCUGAUGCAGCGACGCCGCGUGGGGGAUGACGGCCUUCGGGUUGUAAACUCCUUUCGACCGCGAGGAAGCCACCUGGUUGGAAGGGUGGUGACGGUAGUGGUAGAAGAAGCACCGGCUAACUACGUG